rnacentral:rRNA from 1 species
CUGGCUCAGGAUGAACGCUAGCGGCAGGCCUAUACAUGCAAGUCGAACGGUGCAGCAAUGCACAGUGCGCACGGGUGCGUAACGCGUAUGCAACUUACCCAUGAGAGGGGGAUAGCCCGGGGAAACCCGGAUUAAUACCGCAUAAGAUAAUUAGAUGGCAUCAUUUGAUUAUGAAACAUUUAUGGCUCAUGGAUGGGCAUGCGUUAGAUUAGCUAGUUGGUAGUGUAAAGGACUACCAAGGCGAUGAUCUAUAGGGGUUCUGAGAGGAAGAUCCCCCACACUGGUACUGAGAUACGGACCAGACUCCUACGGGAGGCAGCAGUAGGGAAUAUUGGGCAAUGGAGGCAACUCUGACCCAGCCAUGCCGCGUGCAGGAAGAAGGCCUUCUGGGUUGUAAACUGCUUUUGGAAGGGAACAAAACGGCCUUGCGAGGCAACUUGAGUGUACCUUCAGAAUAAGCACCGGCUAACUCCGUGCCAGCAGCCGCGGUAAUACGAAGGGGGCUAGCGUUGUUCGGAAUCACUGGGCGUAAAGGGCGCGUAGGCGGCUUUAUAAGUCGGGGGUGAAAGCCUGUGGCUCAACCACAGAAUUGCCUUCGAUACUGUAUGGCUUGAGACCGGAAGAGGUAAGUGGAACUGCGAGUGUAGAGGUGAAAUUCGUAGAUAUUCGCAAGAACACCAGUGGCGAAGGCGGCUUACUGGUCCGGUUCUGACGCUGAGGCGCGAAAGCGUGGGGAGCAAACAGGAUUAGAUACCCUGGUAGUCCACGCCGUAAACGAUGAAUGCCAGCCGUUGGGCAGCUUGCUGCUCAGUGGCGCAGCUAACGCUUUAAGCAUUCCGCCUGGGGAGUACGGUCGCAAGAUUAAAACUCAAAUGAAUUG